GACCUGUACUAAGAAACAGAUUCAGAAGCACAGAAGGAUAAAGACUAUAUCUACCUAUCUGUCUGUCUACCUAUUUAUUUUUAAAAACAAUAAAUAAGGCAGCAGCUUUCAUGUCUUCAAUAUUGAGCUCAAGGCAGUGUUGAUGGAAGCAAAACAAAAUAAAAAUCAACUUUGUGUCUUAAAUGAAAAACCUGACGCAACAGACUUGCUCAUCACACUAUACAAGGACUCUAUUAAAUGCUACCUAAACUUUUCCUCCAGAUCACCCACUAAAGACAAAUAAGAUUGUUUGCUGUUAGUAUAUAGAAACACUGCUGACAGGCCAUAAUGAAUAAAGAGAUUGAAGGAGUAAUAAAUGUCUUCCACCAAAGAAAAGCCCAGGACCUAGUGGAUUCACUGCUAACCUUUGCCUAACAUGCAAAGGAGAACUAAUACCAGUUUUACUCAAACUUUCAAAAAAAUUGAUGAGGAGAGGAUACUUCCAAACUUAGUCUAUGAGACACCAGAGCUCAUGGUGCUUGGGCCUUUGGACCAUGGGACUGACUCCAUGGGCUCUCUUGGUUCUCAGGACUUCAGACUUGGACUGUGUCACACUACUGGCUCUUUUGGGUCUCCAGCUUGCAGAUGGCAGAUCAUGGAACUUCUUGGCCUCCACAAUCAGGUGAGCUAAUUCCCACAAUUGAUCUCCUCUAAUUUAUCUAUACGUAUACUAUUUGUUCUGUUUCUCUGGAGAACGUUCACUCAUACACAUAUGUUUGUUUUACAUGUGGAAAAACAUAAAUUAGAAGCCCAAAGGUAUUUAACAACUUGCCAAGCUAGAUAGUGCAGAAAGAGUCAGAUCUAGGUUUCCUGGAAACAGAAGACAAAGCAUUGCCCUUAACAUGUUCUACUUUUUCUUAUAAGAGCUCUUUAAACACUUGGGUCACUUUAGGAUACAGCACAGCUUCAGAGAAGAAGUAAUAUCAGUUUUCACAACUCAAUGCCUUAAGACUUGAUUGACACACCUUUAAAAUGGUGAAGUGUGUUGCUGAAGAACAAUAAACACUCAAACAAGUAAAGCUAUGUCUUAGUCUGCUGGGGCUGCCAUAAUAAAAUAUCACAGACUGGGUGGCUUAAACCACAUUUGUUUUCUCAAGGUUUUAUAGGCUGGAAGUCCAAGAUCAAGGGUGUUGACAGGGUUGCUUUCUGCUGAGGCCUCUUUCCUUGUUUUGCAGAUGGCCAUCUUCUUGCUUUUUUUCCUUGUUUUACAGAUGGCCAUCUUAAAUAUGGCAUGUCCUCACAUGGCCUUUCCUCUGUGUGUGGGCAUGUCUGCAUCCGAAUCUCCUCUUCUUGUAAGAAUACCAGUUGUGUGCCGGGUGCGGUGGCUCACGCCUGUAAUCCCAGCACUUUGGGAGGCUGAGGUGGGUGGAUCACGAGGUCAAGAGAU